AGAGUUUGAUCCUGGCUCAGGAUGAACGCUGGCGGCGUGCCUAACACAUGCAAGUCGAGCGAUCUCUUCGGAGAGAGCGGCGGACGGGUGAGUAACGCGUGGGUAACCUGCCCUGUACACACGGAUAACAUACCGAAAGGUAUACUAAUACGGGAUAACAUACGAAAGUCGCAUGGCUUUUGUAUCAAAGCUCCGGCGGUACAGGAUGGACCCGCGUCUGAUUAGCUAGUUGGUAAGGUAAUGGCUUACCAAGGCAACGAUCAGUAGCCGACCUGAGAGGGUGAUCGGCCACACUGGAACUGAGACACGGUCCAGACUCCUACGGGAGGCAGCAGUGGGGAAUAUUGCACAAUGGGCGAAAGCCUGAUGCAGCAACGCCGCGUGAGCGAUGAAGGCCUUCGGUCGUAAGCUCUGUCCUCAAGGAAGAUAAUGACGGUACUUGAGGAGGAAGCCCGGCUAACUACGUGCCAGCAGCCGCGGUAAUACGUAGGGGCUAGCGUUAUCCGGAAUUACUGGGCGUAAAGGGUGCGUAGGUGGUUUUUUAAGUCAGAAGUGAAAGGCUACGGCUCAACCGUAGUAAGCUUUUGAAACUAGAGAACUUGAGUGCAGGAGAGGAGAGUAGAAUUCCUAGUGUAGCGGUGAAAUGCGUAGAUAUUAGGAGGAAUACCAGUAGCGAAGGCGGCUCUCUGGACUGUAACUGACACUGAGGCACGAAAGCGUGGGGAGCAAACAGGAUUAGAUACCCUGGUAGUCCACGCCGUAAACGAUGAGUACUAGGUGUCGGGGGGUUACCCCCCUCGGUGCCGCAGCUAACGCAUUAAGUACUCCGCCUGGGAAG
rnacentral:rRNA from 1 species